rnacentral:rRNA from 1 species
UACGGAGUGUGCAAGCGUUAUCCGGAAUCACUGGGCGUAAAGGGCGCGUAGGUGGUCUGUUAAGUCUGGCGUUAAAGCCUGGGGCUCAACCCCAGAUCAGCGUUGGAUACUGGCAGGCUAGACGGUUGGAGAGGCGAGUGGAAUUACCAGUGUAGCGGUGGAAUGCGUAGAUACUGGUAGGAACACCCAUUGCGAAGGCAGCUCGCUGGACAACACGUGACACUGAGGCGCGAAAGUGUGGGGAGCAAACCCGGAUUAGAUA